UAAAAAUCUAUAAAAAAAUAAUUGCAGAAGAAAACGAAUCCAUAUUCUCUUGAAGGCAAAUUUGCAGAUAGGGCUGUAG
rnacentral:sRNA from 1 species